AGCGGCAAAAUGGAUAGUAACACGUGGAUACACACCCUUGGGUCUGGGAUAGCGGCGGGAAACUGCCGGUAAUACCAGAUAAUGUCUUCGGACCAAAGAUUUAUUGCCCGAGGAGUGGUCCGCGUCCUAUUAGGUAGUUGGCGGGGUAAAGGCCCACCAAGCCGAAGAUGGGUAGCGGGUGUGAGAGCAUGGCCCGCAUCACUGGGACUGAGACACUGCCCAGACACCUACGGGUGGCUGCAGUCGCGAAUCUUCCACAAUGGACGAAAGUCUGAUGGAGCGACGCCGCGUGCGGGAUGAAGGCCUUCGGGUUGUAAACCGCUGUCGAGGGGAAUCAAAUUUUGAGUGAUCCCUGGAGGAAGCACCGGCUAAACUCGUGCCAGCAGCCGCGGUAAUACGAGUGGUGCAAACGUUGUUCGGAAUUACUGGGCUUAAAGGGUGCGUAGGCGGCCAUGUAGGUCUGAUGUGAAAUACCACGGCUCAACCGUGGAACUGCGUUGGAUACCGCAUGGCUGGAGUGAGACAGAGGUAAGCGGAACUGAUGGUGGAGCGGUGAAAUGCGUUGAUAUCAUCAGGAACACCGGUGGCGAAAGCGGCUUACUGGGUCUUUACUGACGCUGAUGCACGAAAGCUAGGGGAGCAAACGGGAUUAGAUACCCCGGUAGUCCUAGCUGUAAACGAUGAGUACUAGUCCGUGGGG
rnacentral:rRNA from 1 species